UGAGGAACAUGACCUUCGGCGGGGGAUAGCCGGCCCAACGGCCGGGUAAUACCGCGAACGACCACAUGGGGACAUCCCUGAGUGGUGAAAGCAGCAAUGCGCCGAUGGAGUGCCUCGCGGCCUAUCAGCUAGUUGGUGAGGUAACGGCUCACCAAGGCGACGACGGGUAGCUGGUCUGAGAGGGUGACCGGCCACACGUGGGACUGAGACACGGCCCAGACCUCCGUACGGGGAGCAG
rnacentral:rRNA from 1 species